GUUGAGGUUGAGGGUCAUAGUAUGCGUGAGUUGUGGGCUGUGUAUGUGAGGUGGGACCCAUAACCAAAACAAGUUGAUGGGGUUCACAUGACUGUGGACCGUGUUUUAGUUAAGUUCAUCCCCCCUGAGCUUUGCUGCUACUGCUGACCACCAGCAGGCCCUCAUCUUCCGUCUCUCUCUUUACAUUUGUCACAACAUAACCCCAACCCAACUGUUUGUGAAUAAUUUAAUAAUAUUAUUUUUUUUACACGGAAUAUGUAAGGUCUUAUCAUCAAAAUCUACUCUAUUGUUUG
rnacentral:misc_RNA from 1 species